CAGUUGGUGUUUCAGUGGUAGAAUUCUAGCUUGCCAUGUUGGAGACCUGGGUUCGAUUCCCAGCCAAUACA
rnacentral:tRNA from 1 species